UCAUAUUACACCAUAAAACUUGUGGUCAACAACAUGCUACUACCAGAACUCCCUACAACCUGCUCCCUCUUUCUCUCAUUUUCUUCACUGCCGGUCACCGGUGACACACCGGCAACGGCUGCCGAUCAACGUAGUUCCUCCGGCAACCCCACACAACACCCCUCGUUCUCUCUCUGCUCCGACUAACCGGCCGGCUAUGCCCCCCCCCCCCCCUCCGAUGAUCUCCAGAGACGGCAGGCGGAGCCGCCGCCUCUCACUCCGGCGCCGGUGGGUGUCUCGACGACGACGGCGGUGUGCCGUUUUUCUGAUGGUCGACGGGCGAGGGGUCCAGCAGCCGCUGUUCCUUUGAUGAUGAUGGCCAGUCGAUGAUGAUGAGAUAAUGCGGUGAUUGAUGAUAAUCUGCUAUUAAAGUCGGUGAUGUUGAUGACGAUGAUGUUGCUGAAGAUGUGAUUUUCUUCGUGGUGCGACAGGUCACGACCGAUUGAGGAUCAGGUUGGGUUUGUUUUGAGUUUGGUUCGGGUAGUAACGAGUCAAUGGUUGGUGAUGGGUUCAAGGCAGCAGCAAUGGUUGUGGUCGAAUAGGCUAGGGUUUCGACUCGGGUCAGAUUUGGUCGAACAGGCUCGGGUCAAAGAUGGUGUACGGUCAACAGGUCAAUUUCGAGUUCUUGGUUUGCGUGCGGUUAUAAUGUUCCAGAUUCAUGUUUUGGCUCGGUUCACAUUUUUGGCUCGGGUUUGUAGUGGAUCGGUUCAACUAGUGAACGGAUCAGCUUAGACUUAAAUUCGGGUGUCGCGACUCCGUUUAGCUUCGAGUUCUGGCUAAUUUUAGUCAACUCCAGGAUACGAUUCGGUUCGGGUCACAUCUGUUUCAGGUUUGGUCAACUCAGUCAAAGAAAGUCAACUGGUCAAAGCCGGUCAACUCAGUUCGUUUUGGUCAACACCCGGUCAACUCAGGACCCGGUAAAGUUUAGACGUAGCAAAUAUUUAUUCCGUUAGCUUAGAUAGUUUACGCGACCGAGCUCGACCCGAUUCGACUAGAUACUAUCUUACGUUUUGGUAUAUUUAACGAGAAAUUUUUAUAUAUAGUGUUUAUUGGUUGAAUUAUUGCUGAAUUUUGACAAAAUACGACGACUUUUA